GCAACUGGGUAGAGGUGUUACCAGUAGUAUUUAUGUCCAAAAUUUAAUUAAUUAUCAAUCAAGUAUAAUAAAGUGAUCGAUAAUAUUAUAUUGAUCAAGAUUUAAUUAUUUAGUUAUAUUUUGAUACUUGGAGGAACUCAUUUUUUAAGAUAAUUUGAGAAAUUUGGUGAAGAAACUACCUUGUCACGUUUCUAAUGUUAUGUAUUAAAUUUAAGUUUCACGUUCAUUUGAAGUCUUCAUUGUCAAGGAUGAAAAAGAAUCCAUCGAUCAUUUCUCUCAUCAAUCAUGACAUGUUAGAUAUCGGCCGAGCCAAAGCAUUUCCAGCGAAAACGAGUAAUAAAAGAGCCUGAUGCAUUAUUGUCCUUCCCGUCACCUUACAUGGCC
rnacentral:lncRNA from 1 species